UCGCCUGUUUAUCAAAAACAUGUCCAUUUUGGUUUAUAUAAAUGGUCUGGCCUGCUCACUGGUUUGUUAAUACUAAAGAGCCGCGGUAUUUUGACUGUGCAAAGGUAGCAUAAUAAUUAGGUCUUUAAUUGGGAUCUUGUAUGAAUGGUUAGACAAGAGAAAAGCUGUCUUCUGAAAUAAAAAUUGAAUUUAACUUUCAAGUGAAAAGGCUUGAGUGUUUAAAAGGGACGAUAAGACCCUAUGAAGCUUAAAUACAAUAUUUAAUAUUUAAUAGAGUUAAAGAUAUAAGAAUUUUAUUUUAAAUGUGUAUUUCGUUGGGGUGACGUGAAUAUAAUUAGAAUUGUAACUGUUCAAUAAUAAAAUACAUAUAAUAGAUGAUUAAGUUGUAAUAGAUCCUUAGUAAAGAUAAAAGGUUAAGUUACUCUAGGGAUAACAGCGUUAUUUCUUUUAAGAGUUCAUAUCAAAAAAGAAGUUUGCGACCUCGAUGUUGAAUUAAAAUGUCUUUAUAGUGCAGCCGCUAUAAAAGAAGGUCUGUUCGACCUUUAAAUUUUUACGUGAUCUGAGUUCAGACCGG
rnacentral:rRNA from 1 species